rnacentral:rRNA from 1 species
CCUACGGGUGGCAGCAGUAGGGAAUAUUGCUCAAUGGGCGAAACCCUGAAGCAGCAACGCCGCGUGCAGGAUGAAGGCUUUCGGAUUGUAAACUCCUUUUGUUAGAGAAGAUAAUGACGGUAUCUAACGAAUAAGCACCGGCUAACUCCGUGCCAGCAGCCGCGGUAAUACGGAGGGUGCAAGCGUUACCCGGAAUCACUGGGCGUAAAGAGCGCGUAGGCGGGAUAGAAAGUCAGAUGUGAAAUUCUAUGGCUUAACCCUCGAACUGCAUUUGAAACUGUUAUUCUAGAGUGUGGGAGAGGUAGGUGGAAUGCGUGGUGUAGGGGUAAAAUCCGUAGAGAUCAAGAGGAACACUCAUUGCGAAGGCGGCCUGCUAGAACAUAACUGACGCUGAGGCGCGAAAGCGUGGGGAGCAAACAGGAUUAGAUACCCCAGUAGUC